UUUGUCUAGGACAGACAGGUAAUGAAACUCAGAUAAGGCCCUCCAGCUGCAUGAAAUACAAAGUGUUGUGGAUACCUGAUAACACUUCAACCGGUGAAAGAUCAGUGGAAACAUACACUUUGAUUGUGACAGGAUCCAGCCCUAUGUACAUAACUGCUCUUAUUACCCAAUUAGUCUACUCCUCCUCUUUGAAAAGGAUGUUGUCCCACAUGUAGAUUUCGUUUAAAGAAGUAAAAACAAUGGUAAAAUCUCAAAACUCAAGGGUCUGCUGGAAAGGGAAGGAGAUGAUGCUCAUGGACGAUACUGGCAGUGACCUAAGGAAGGAGAA